rnacentral:lncRNA from 1 species
UUCAAUGGUGAAAAUAAAUGGUUUAUUUUUAAAAUAAACAAAUUUACAAAUCAAAUGGAAAAUGGAAAAUACAAACAUUUAUGGAUAAAAUAAAAAAGAUAGUCUUAAAAUAUGAAAAACCUAUGGAAAGAAAAUAGAUAAUUAACAAGUGGAGUGAAACUUUUGUUCCCCAAUACAAUGGAGUACUUGUUUAUUAGAAUACUAGGGAAUCAUCCAAACUACAUUGCAGUCUCCUUCUCUCUCAAAUAUUCUGUACUGGGCAUCUUCUGGAUCAUAAAACAAACAAACAAAAAAGAACUCUUGAAACAAAAUUGUCUUAGGAUGAGAUAUCAUUUUGAUUUGAGUUGCUUUAGAUUUUUAGCAUUUGAAAAUGUUCAGUAGCAAAUACAGUAAUGUAAAUAGAACAAAAGUUAUCUAGAAGUUUCUAGGGGUACCAAACAUCAUUUAGCAUAAAUAUGAAAUCCAAAAGUGCAAAAAGAUGCUGCAUUGGCA